rnacentral:rRNA from 1 species
CACGUAGGGUGCGAGCGUUGUCCGGAAUUAUUGGGCGUAAAGAGCUCGUAGGCGGUGUGUCGCGUCGGCCGUGAAAACCUGCAGCUUAACUGUGGGCUUGCGGUCGAUACGGGCAGGCUAGAGUCAGGUAGGGGAGAACGGAAUUCCUGGUGUAGCGGUGAAAUGCGCAGAUAUCAGGAGGAACACCGGUGGCGAAGGCGGUUCUCUGGGCCUGUACUGACGCUGAGGAACGAAAGCGUGGGGAGCGAACAGG